rnacentral:rRNA from 1 species
GACGAACGCUGGCGGCGUGCCUAAUACAUGCAAGUAGAACGCACAGUUUAUACCGUAGCUUGCUACACCAUAAACUGUGAGUUGCGAACGGGUGAGUAACGCGUAGGUAACCUGCCUGGUAGCGGGGGAUAACUAUUGGAAACGAUAGCUAAUACCGCAUAAUAUUGAUUAUUGCAUGAUAAUUGAUUGAAAGAUGCUAUUGCAUCACUACCAGAUGGACCUGCGUUGUAUUAGCUAGUAGGUGAGGUAACGGCUCACCUAGGCGACGAUACAUAGCCGACCUGAGAGGGUGAUCGGCCACACUGGGACUGAGACACGGCCCAGACUCCUACGGGAGGCAGCAGUAGGGAAUCUUCGGCAAUGGACGAAAGUCUGACCGAGCAACGCCGCGUGAGUGAAGAAGGUUGUCGGAUCGUAAAGCUCUGUUGUAAGAGAAGAACGGGUGUGAGAGUGGAAAGUUCACACUGUGACGGUAGCUGACCAGAAAGGGACGGCUAACUACGUG